UACGAAGGGAGCUAGCGUUGUUCGGAAUCACUGGGCGUAAAGCGCACGUAGGCGGAUUUGUCAGUCAGGGGUGAAAUCCCGGGGCUCAACCUCGGAACUGCCUCUGAUACAGCAAGUCUUGAGUUCGAGAGAGGUGGGUGGAAUUCCUAGUGCAGAGGUGAAAUUCGUAGAUAUUAGGAAGAACACCGGUGGCGAAGGCGGCCCACUGGCUCGAUACUGACGCUGAGGUGCGAAAGCGUGGGGAGCAAACAGG
rnacentral:rRNA from 1 species